rnacentral:rRNA from 2 species
AGCAGUAGGGAAUCUUCCACAAUGGGCGCAAGCCUGAUGGAGCAACACCGCGUGAGUGAAGAAGGGUUUCGGCUCGUAAAGCUCUGUUGUUGGAGAAGAACAUGCGUGAGAGUAACUGUUCACGCAGUGACGGUAUCCAACCAGAAAGUCACGGCUAACUACGUGCCAGCAGCCGCGGUAAUACGUAGGUGGCAAGCGUUAUCCGGAUUUAUUGGGCGUAAAGCGAGCGCAGGCGGUUGCUUAGGUCUGAUGUGAAAGCCUUCGGCUUAACCGAAGAAGUGCAUCGGAAACCGGGCGACUUGAGUGCAGAAGAGGACAGUGGAACUCCAUGUGUAGCGGUGAAAU